AAUAUGUAAACAAGGAUGUUCAAUUUGGAUGAAUUCAAUCUGAAGGCUCAUUUACAUUUGUU
rnacentral:lncRNA from 1 species